rnacentral:lncRNA from 1 species
GUGAGUUGGUGGGAGGGGCAGGACUAAUGAGAGUAACUGACAGCUCUUGAGUGCUCCCUAUUUAUUGGGCACUGUGUUUUACAUCAUCGUCACCAGGAGUUGAGUGAAGUCUCAACUCUGAGGCUCAGAGACACUGAGACAUGCCCAGGAACACACGGUUAUGAGGUGGCAGAGCUGGAAUAUGAAAACCAGAUCCGAUUUCACAGCCAAAUUUCUUAACUGCUAACACUAUACUGCUAAAACCUAAAACCCAGGCCUGCACCCUCACUGUCACCCAGAUUCUUCCCCUGUGCGGCCUCUGUUAUGCCAACUCCUCAAAAAAAAGAUCGAGCUGCACGCAGUUCUGGAGGAUUCGCAAAGCGCUUUCGUGUCUUUCUCCACAAUAGCUCAGGGGAUCCUGACAACAGACCCAGGUGGCAGCCUGGGCAGAAAUCAGCGUUCUCGUUUCACAAAGCUGAAGCAGUUGGGGUCCCUUCAAUCUGAUUGGACCUUCUCCAUCACUGUCUGUACAUCCGAGCGAAGGGCCCACAGGUGGAGAAAUGCUUAAUGUAGGACUAGGGACCCAUGCCCCCCCAGGGUGGAAGGACAGAUGUGAAGCUGGCUGAGGAAACUUUUAAUUCAAAAGAAAAAAGAGUGCACUUUCUUUUUUUAUAUGUUUUAAAUAGAAUAAUGAGAUAAUCCUGGAUUUUAAAAAAUCAGCUCUGGUGUUUAUAUUUUAAUUUAUUCUCAGAAGGGUGGGAGGUCUAGAGGAAAGGCAAUAUGUGGGUCUUCUUUUAUGAUUUGCUAUGGUAAGCCACAUUUAAUCCCUUUCUUCAGUGAAAGGAUUUACGAAGGAUACAACAAAACGUACCUAUCUGUUGCUUUCAUUGUACUUUUUCCAGAUUUUUAUUUAGUUCACAAUGUUAUAACAAUAAAGGAAAUUAAAAGGAAAGAAAAUUAUCCAUAAUCCUGCCAUCCUAACAAAUGAACUGCUCAGCAUUCCUCUUCUGUCCUUCCUUACAUGCUGCAAAAUUUACAUAGGUAAUUUAUUAAUGUAGUUACAGCCUUGCAGCCAGCUUUCUCACUUAACAAUUUAUCAUUAUAAUGCCACAGGGUCUUCAUAAUUAUCAUUUAAAAAUAAAUGGUUUAAUAAUUAUUUUAAUGGCUGCUUAAUACCCUUUCAAGUGGCUAUAUCAUUCCCUAAUAUUGUCUAUUUCCAAGGACUCAACUUUUCCCUAUCACAGGGAAUCCCAAAGUGCAUGUCUUCCUACUUCCUACUUUCUCCCCUUUUUUGUUGUUUCCCAAAUCUCCAGAUCUAGAUUUGCUGGGUCAGAGGGCCAUCAUGGCUCUUGAUAUAUGUUGGCAAAUCACUCUGCAAAAGGCUUUCAUAAAUUUCUUUUGCUUCCAGUAAUGGAUGAGUAUGAUACUUUCCUACCACACUUUGCCCCAACCAAGGGAAAUCUACUGACAAAUGAGAGAGAACUUGAUAAGCAACAUUUGUGCUCAUUAAACAAAUGUUUUGACUCACCUGUCAUCAGCUCUCUAGUCUCUUAUUUCUGUUGCCAUCAUAAAUUAAAUGCCUUUACCAAGAAUCUGAGGAAAGCGGCAAAGCAAUUAUCACACCCAGUUCACAGCUGAGGAAACUGAGCCUCAACUCAAGGCUUUGCCCGGGACGUGCAGUGAGUCAGUGGCCGUGCUGAGCCCUUGGCAACGUCAGUAGUGUAGUAUUCUGAUCGAUCUUUGAUUCUCCAAUUGGAAUAUAGUCUCCACUCUCAAGGAGCACACACUCCCCCAGAAAAACGAGAUGUGUUCAUUGUGACCACUACAAGAAGGCAGAAGGUGCUCGGGGAGGAGCCUGUCAAGUGUGGUGGCUGUGGAGAAGAAAGAGAAGACGACUCUCGGCUCGGUUGGCUUGGAGUGGGAGCUGGAGCCUGAGAAGGUGCCUGUGCAGGGGAGUCUCAGCUGAGAGAGAGUGACCAGCAGUUAUUCAUCACACUGACCUUUGUUUUAAAACAAAUAAGACCAACAUGUAUGCAUCUGGUCAAUCCCAACAUUCAGAUGCUGAGCACAGAAGCUUGAUUUUUAUUAGCUAUAUUUCUUGCCCAUAUAUUGGAACUGACCUUAAAGUGGAAGUCAGAAGUGUAUGUCAGAUAUCAUUUGGAGUAAUGAGUGUAUUUUCCUAAUCUCUCCAACACCAACCUUAUAAUUCAUUUCCAAUAGCAUGCAUACUAAUUAAUUUGUUUUCCAUAUAGUAAUAAGAUUAACAACCUCGCAUUUACACGGGGUACUGAGUCAUGUUCAAAUAAAACAAGUUCUAAUGAGAAAAAUUGGAUGCGGCAGGAAAUCAUGUCCCACCCGGCAAUCCAGGUUUAUGUGUGUUCUGUCUUUGCCAUACAUAUUUUUGUCAGGAUCUCACUGUAAACAAGAUGAUUUCUUUCAUGUUGGGUUAGUCUGGGUAAAUUUGUUUAAUGAACAACAAAGUCAUUGUAAACAUUACACAAAUUUGGGUGCCUUGCAGCGUGGCUAGGAAUCUUUUAAGCUGCUCCAAAAAAUAAAAGCAGUGUUCAGUGUUAACCACAAAAACAAUAUUGGGGGAAAAUGCUAUUAAUAGGUCAAGGCUCUUAGAUAUACAGCCUGGCUCAGUUCUGUCCUGAACAACUGAAGAGUUUAUGGUGAAAUGGGAAGUGACCUUGCGCAGUCAUUCUGCCUCCCCUAAUCUCAGCCUCGGUUUCUUCCUCUGUCAACUGGAGAGAGUUGUCUAGGCCUAUGAACGUCCCACCAGAAUAAACUAGGGGGCUUUGAAAAAAACACAGAUGGCCAAGCUAUGCCACUAAAUCCCAGUCCUACUAAACUCCAAUCCCUGGGGGCUGGGGCCCAGAAUCUGUAUUUUUAAAAACAAGUUCCACAGGUGACUUGAUGACCAGCCUGGUUUGGGACCCACGGGACCAGAAAGACUACUAGUCAGAUCCGUCCCGGCUCUUUUGUUCUCUUUCUUCAUGAUUUCAUGACCAUAACAACCCAUGCUUCUAAAAACCCACCUUGGAAAAUGCGUUGCUCUCAUCUGGGUGGAGGAAGAGAACUGUUUAGAGAAGCAGCAAGCUGGAUUCUGCUCCUGGGUCCCCCUCAAGCUAUCCAGAUGACAUUGGAAAUGUCACUUGUCUCUGGACCUCAGUCUCUUCAUUCACAAAACAAGGCCACUGGACCCUUCCUCUCUGAUACUCUGGAGCCUAAUUUCUGACCCCUUUGGCAUUCAUCCGUUGGCACACAGACUGCCUUCUAGUUAACUUUC